rnacentral:rRNA from 1 species
GCCAAACAGCUAGCUCAAUUACCCAAUAACUAAACAAUAUAAAUAAAACAAAAUAAGCCUAACACCAAAAAUUAAAUCAUUCUUUUACCUUAGUAUGGGCGACAGAAAAGGUUACACCUGGAGCAAUAGAAAAAGUACCGCAAGGGAAAGCUGAAAGAGAAAUGAAAUAACUUAUAUAAGCACCAAAAAGCAAAGAUUAAAUCUUGUACCUUUCGCAUCAUGAUUUAGCCAGUAUAUCCAAGCAAAGAGACCUUUAGUUUGAAACCCCGAAACCAAGUGAGCUACCCCGAGACAGCCUAUUAAGGGCCAACCCGUCUCUGUGGCAAAAGAGUGGGAAGAGCUCCGGGUAGAGGUGACAGACCUACCGAACUUGGUGAUAGCUGGUUGCCUAAGAAGUGAAUAGAAGUUCAGCCUCGUACUCCCUGAGUCAAAAGAUAUAAAAAGAUAUUAGAGGGAAAUAUAUGAGAGUUAGUUAAAGGGGGUACAGCCCCUUUAACAAAGGACACAACCUUUCCAGGAGGAUAAAGAUCAUAAUACAUAAGACAUCCUGUUCUAGUGGGCCUAAAGGCAGCCAUCUAAACAGAAAGCGUUAAAGCUCAGACAGAAAUAAGUUUAUUAUUCCGACAAGAAAUCUUACUCCCCUAAAUAUUAUUAGGCCAGCCCAUGCCCACAUGGGAGAGACUAUGCUAAAAUGAGUAACAAGAAGGCCAGCCCUUCUCCAAGCACAAGUGUAAGCCAAACCGGACCGACCAUUGGCAAUUAACGAACUCAACCCGAGAGAGUAAUGUGUAUUACAACGAAACCAGGAAGAACCCACAAUUAACCCAUCGUUACCCCCACACUGGCGUGCUAUUAAAGGAAAGACUAAAAGAAGGGAAAGGAACUCGGCAAACACAAGCCUCGCCUGUUUACCAAAAACAUCGCCUCCUGCAACACAACCAAGUAUAGGAGGUCCAGCCUGCCCAGUGACUACAAGUUCAACGGCCGCGGUAUUUUGACCGUGCAAAGGUAGCGCAAUCACUUGUCUCUUAAAUGGAGACCUGUAUGAAUGGCUAAACGAGGGCUUAACUGUCUCCCCCCUCCAGUCAGUGAAAUUGAUCUACCCGUGCAGAAGCGGG